GCUAACGCGUGAAGUUGACCGCCUGGGGAGUACGGUCGCAAGAUUAAAACUCAAAGGAAUUGACGGGGACCCGCACAAGCGGUGGAUGAUGUGGAUUAAUUCGAUGCAACGCGAAAAACCUUACCUACCCUUGACAUGGUCGGAAUCCUGCUGAGAGGCGGGAGUGCUCGAAAGAGAACCGGCGCACAGGUGCUGCAUGGCUGUCGUCAGCUCGUGUCGUGAGAUGUUGGGUUAAGUCCCGCAACGAGCGCAACCCUUGUCCUUAGUUGCUACGCAAGAGCACUCUAAGGAGACUGCCGGUGACAAACCGGAGGAAG
rnacentral:rRNA from 1 species